UACCGGGGGGGCGAGCGUUAUUUAUCAUUAUUGGGCGUAAAGGGUAUGUAGGUGGUUAACUAAAUUCUAUACGAAACGCUAGGGCUCAACCUUAGACAGGUAUUUAAUAUUGGUUUUAACUAAGGGUUAGAUAGAGGUUGGGGGAAUUUUUUGAGUAGGGGUAAAAUCCGCAGAUCCUUAAAAGAACACCAAAGGCGAAGGCACCUUUCCAAAUCUAACUAGACACUGAGGUACGAAAGCAUGGGUAUCAAAAAGG
rnacentral:rRNA from 1 species